rfam:Camelus ferus unplaced genomic scaffold scaffold553, whole genome shotgun sequence.
GGAGGUAUAGCUUAAUGGUAGAGGGCGUGCUUGGUAUGCACGAAGUCUUGGGUUCAAUCCCCAGUGCCUCUG